rnacentral:rRNA from 1 species
UAGGGAAUCUUCGGCAAUGGACGAAAGUCUGACCGAGCAACGCCGCGUGAGUGAAGAAGGUUUUCGGAUCGUAAAACUCUGUUGUUAGAGAAGAACAAGGACGUUAGUAACUGAACGUCCCCUGACGGUAUCUAACCAGAAAGCCACGCCUAACUACGUGCCAGCAGCCGCGGUAAUACGUAGGUGGCAAGCGUUGUCCGGAUUUAUUGGGCGUAAAGCGAGCGCAGGCGGUUUCUUAAGUCUGAUGUGAAAGCCCCCGGCUCAACCGGGGAGGGUCAUUGGAAACUGGGAGACUUGAGUGCAGAAGAGGAGAGUGGAAUUCCAUGUGUAGCGGUGAAAUGCGUAGAUAUAUGGAGGAACACCAGUGGCGAAGGCGGCUCUCUGGUCUGUAACUGACGCUGAGGCUCGAAAGCGUGGGGAGCAAACAGG